rfam:Rattus norvegicus chromosome 4, whole genome shotgun sequence.
ACACUUACCUGUCAGGGAUAUACCAGAAUCUUGAAGGUGGUUUUCCCAGGGCUAAGCAUAUUCAUUGUGGAAUUGCUGACCCCUGCAAUUUCCCCAAAUGAGGAAAACUUUGACUGCAUAAUUUAUAGUAAUGGAGGGCUCUGUUCAAGUUCUCCCU